UUGUCAGAUUUUUGAAAAUUUUCAUUAAUAACUCGAGAAAUAAAGCAUGACAUUUUCAGAUAAGGUGAUUUUGGACUUCAGGGGAAAAAUGUCUACCGGUAUAUCUAAAAGUCUA